UGGGGAAUUUUGGACAAUGGGCGAAAGCCUGAUCCAGCAAUGCCGCGUGUGUGAAGAAGGCCUUCGGGUUGUAAAGCACUUUUGUCCGGAAAGAAAUCCUUGGCUCUAAUACAGUCGGGGGAUGACGGUACCGGAAGAAUAAGCACCGGCUAACUACGUGCCAGCAGCCGCGGUAAUACGUAGGGUGCAAGCGUUAAUCGGAAUUACUGGGCGUAAAGCGUGCGCAGGCGGUUUGCUAAGACCGAUGUGAAAUCCCCGGGCUCAACCUGGGAACUGCAUUGGUGACUGGCAGGCUAGAGUAUGGCAGAGGGGGGUUAGAAUUCCACGUGUAGCAGUGAAAUGCGUAGAGAUGUGGAGGAAUACCGAUGGCGAAGGCAGCCCCCUGGGCCAAUACUGACGCUCAUGCACGAAAGCGUGGGGAGCAAACAGGAUUAGAUACCCUGGUAGUCCACGCCCUAAACGGUGUCAACUAGUUGUUGGGGAUUCAUUUCCUUAGUAACGUAGCUAACGCGUGAAGUUGACCGCCUGGGGAGUACGGGUCGCAAGAUUAAAACUCAAAUGAAUUGACGGGGUCAUAGCUGUUUCCU
rnacentral:rRNA from 1 species